AUUGAACGCUGGCGGCAUGCCUUACACAUGCAAGUCGAACGGCAGCACGGGUGCUAGCACCUGGUGGCGAGUGGCGAACGGGUGAGUAAUACAUCGGAACAUGUCCUGUAGUGGGGGAUAGCCCGGCGAAAGCCGGAUUAAUACCGCAUACGAUCUACGGAUGAAAGCGGGGGACCUUCGGGCCUCGCGCUAUAGGGUUGGCCGAUGGCUGAUUAGCUAGUUGGUGGGGUAAAGGCCUACCAAGGCGACGAUCAGUAGAUGGUCUGAGAGGACGACCAGCCACACUGGGACUGAGACACGGCCCAGACUCCUACGGGAGGCAGCAGUGGGGAAUUUUGGACAAUGGGCGAAAGCCUGAUCCAGCAAUGCCGCGUGUGUGAAGAAGGCCUUCGGGUUGUAAAGCACUUUUGUCCGGAAAGAAAUCCUUGGCUCUAAUACAGUCGGGGGAUGACGGUACCGGAAGAAUAAGCACCGGCUAACUACGUG
rnacentral:rRNA from 1 species